CGGAAGACGCUGGUCGGCGGUGCCUAAUACAUGCAAGUAGGUAACGCGUGAAAGGAGGGUAGGCUUUGUCUCGUUUCUGGUAGUGAGUUGCGAACGGGUGAGUAACGCGUAGGUAACCUGCCUGGUAGCGGGGGAGUAACUAUUGGUAAACGAUAGCUAAUACCGCAUAACAGUAGAUGUUGCAUGACAUUUGCUUAAAAGGUGCAAUUGCAUCACUACCAGGUGGACCUGCGUUGUAUUAGCUAGUUGGUGAGGUAACGGCUCACCAAGGCAACGAUACAUAGCCGACCUGAGAGGGUGAUCGGCCACACUGGGACUGAGACACGGCCCAGACUCCUACGGGAGGCAGCAGUAGGGAAUCUUCGGCAAUGGACGGAAGUCUGACCGAGCAACGCCGCGUGAGUGAAGAAGGUUUUCGGAUCGUAAGGCUCUGUUGUAAGAGAAGAACGAGUGUGAGAGUGGAAAGUUCACACUGUGACGGUAUCUUACCAGAAAGGGACGGCUAACUACGUG
rnacentral:rRNA from 1 species